rnacentral:tRNA from 1 species
GGGAGCUUAGCUCAGCUGGGAGAGCAUCUGCCUUACAAGCAGAGGGUCGGGGGUUCGAUCCCCUCAGCCUCCA